CUCCCACCUACAGAUGGCGGCUCCCCACAAACACAACAGCACUUUCAUCAUGGAGUGUAUCGAAUAAAUUUCCACAAUGGCUGGUACGCAUUGCAUAUCAUUUUGUUGUAAGGCUUAUAUUACAUUUUACUCUUUUUCAGAACUAAACGGAUGCGUAUAUGGUAACGUCUCCGCCAUUCACGCGGUUUGACAGCUAACGUAACACACACGCCCACCUGAUGGAAAAACUGGAAGCAUGUAGCACAGAUCACUCAGAAGACUUUUAAAGACACCUAUCUGUGUUUCAUCAGUAUAAAAUGUCAAGUUUCCUCAAGCAGCACAUCACCUCUAUGGUGAAAGAAUUAAUUCCACUUGGCGCUCCACGACGUGACAGUGUAGAUGCCACGCCACAUCCUGUGUCAGGUAGUCUACGUUUUGAACCUUCUGAGAAGACUCCAAAACUCUUGAGCUCACUGCCUAAAUGUAUCCUGCCCACUAAAAACCCUGAGCUGGAACAGAGGGACAAGUCCACUUCAGCUGCACUCAAAGCCUCCAAUAAUAGACCACAUCAGGAUAGUAUUCUGGAUUGCAAAGUUGUUAUGAGAAAACUACAACCAAAUAAUGGCAACAUUAACUCCAGGAAGGAUGGCUCUCUCAAUCCCACGAUUAAAAAGGACACUCUGCGGAGGACCAGUUCUUACAACAGAGACAGAGAAAUUUCUUUUGCUCUCAGUAAGGAGCUGAAUGAAAACUUGAGGGUAAAUGCAGCUAUAAUUUUUUUCUUAAUGCAUUUCCAUCAGUAUUCUAAUGCAGGGACUCC
rnacentral:lncRNA from 1 species